AUUGAACGCUGGCGGCAUGCUUUACACAUGCAAGUCGAACGGUAACAGGCCGCAAGGUGCUGACGAGUGGCGAACGGGUGAGUAAUGCAUCGGAACGUGCCCCGUCGUGGGGGAUAACUACUCGAAAGAGUAGCUAAUACCGCAUACGAUCUAUGGAUGAAAGCGGGGGACCGUAAGGCCUCGCGCGAUUGGAGCGGCCGAUGUCAGAUUAGGUGGUUGGUGGGGUAAAGGCUCACCAAGCCAACGAUCUGUAGCUGGUCUGAGAGGACGACCAGCCACACUGGGACUGAGACACGGCCCAGACUCCUACGGGAGGCAGCAGUGGGGAAUUUUGGACAAUGGGCGCAAGCCUGAUCCAGCAAUGCCGCGUGCAGGAAGAAGGCCUUCGGGUUGUAAACUGCUUUUGUACGGAACGAAACGGCUCUGGUUAAUACCCGGGGCUAAUGACGGUACCGUAAGAAUAAGCACCGGCUAACUACGUG
rnacentral:rRNA from 1 species